GAACACCUGGUCGUAUCAAAGACCAUCUGCAGAGUGGCCGAUUGGAUCUUUCUAAACUGCGACAUGUUGUGCUUGAUGAAGUGGAUCAGAUGUUAGAUUUAGGUUUCGCUGAACAAGUUGAAGAUAUUAUUCAUGAAUCCUACAAAACUGAUUCUGAAGACAAUCCUCAGACUUUACUUUUUUCUGCAACUUGCCCACAGUGGGUAUACAAAGUUGCAAAAAAAUACAUGAAAUCCAGAUAUGAACAGGUUGACCUUGUUGGAAAAAUGACUCAAAAGGCUGCAACUACUGUGGAACAUUUGGCCAUCCAGUGUCAUUGGUCUCAGAGGCCAGCAGUUAUUGGAGAUGUCCUUCAAGUCUACAGUGGGUCUGAAGGGAGGGCUAUUAUUUUCUGUGAGACCAAGAAGAAUGUAACUGAAAUGGCCAUGAAUCCACACAUAAAACAGGAUGUUGAGUCCUAUAUCCAUCGCUCUGGACGCACAGGUAGAGCUGGACGGACAGGGAUUUGUAUAUGUUUUUAUCAACCAAGAG
rnacentral:sRNA from 1 species